GACGAACGCUGGCGGCGUGCUUAACACAUGCAAGUCGAACGAUGAAGCUGGAGCUUGCUCUAGCGGAUUAGUGGCGAACGGGCGAGUAACACGUGAGCAAUCUGCACUUGACUGUGGGAUAACUGCGGGAAACUGUAGCUAAUACCGGAAAAUUUCACCGGGGGGCAUCCUCUGGUGAUGAAAUAAUUUCGGUCAGGGAUGAGCUCGCGGCCUAUCAGCUUGUUGGUGAGGUAGCGGCUCACCAAGGCGACGACGGGUAACCGGCCUGAGAGGGUGACCGGUCACACUGGGACUGAGACACGGCCCAGACUCCUACGGGAGGCAGCAGUGGGGAAUAUUGCACAAUGGGCGCAAGCCUGAUGCAGCAACGCCGCGUGAGGGAUGAAGGCCUUCGGGUUGUAAACCUCUUUUAGCAGGGAAGAAGCGAAAGUGACGGUACCUGCAGAAAAAGCACCGGCUAACUACGUGCCAGCCGCCGCCGUAA
rnacentral:rRNA from 1 species